rnacentral:misc_RNA from 1 species
GAAAUGCGAUAAGUAAUGUGAAUUGCAGAAUUCAGUGAAUCAUCGAAUCUUUGAACGCACAUUGCGCCCGCCAGCAUUCUGGCGGGCAUGCCUGUUCGAGCGUCAUUUCAACCCUCGAGCUCCCUUUGGGGAGCCCGGCGUUGGGGACCGGCCUCUACCGCCGGCCCCGAAAUGAAGUGGCGGCCCGUCCGCGGCGACCUCUGCGUAGUAACUCACCUCGCACCGGAACCCCGACGUGGCCACGCCGUAAAACACCCAACUCUCUGAACGUUGACCUCGAAUCAGGUAGGAAUACCCGCUGAACUUAA